AACGAACGCUGGCGGCAGGCUUAAUACAUGCAAGUCGAACGGGCGCAGCAAUGCGUCAGUGGCAGACGGGUGAGUAACACGUGGGAACCUUCCUCGUUGUACGGAACAACUCAGGGAAACUUGAGCUAAUACCGUAUAAGUCCGAGAGGAGAAAGAUUUAUCGCAAUGAGACGGGCCCGCGUCGGAUUAGGUAGUUGGUGAGGUAACGGCUCACCAAGCCGACGAUCCGUAGCUGAUCUGAGAGGAUGAUCAGCCACACUGGGACUGAGACACGGCCCAGACUCCUACGGGAGGCAGCAGUGGGGAAUCUUGCGCAAUGCGCGAAAGCGUGACGCAGCAACGCCGCGU
rnacentral:rRNA from 1 species